rnacentral:lncRNA from 1 species
CGGUGGGGGAACACCAGUAGGCGGUGGGGGAGAGGCGUCGCGGGGAGCGAAUGGAGCUCUGUAACCGGAAGUGUCUUCUGUGAGGCGUCGUUUCCGGAAGUGUGGCCGAACUGCGGCGGCACCCGGAAGUGUGGUGCUGCCUGGGCUCCGAGAGUCGGACCCGCUGAGAUACAGGGCUGGGAACAGGUGUUUCUGUGUGUUUGUUUCCUCAGGCCGCUGCAGCCUCUCUGCGGAAAGUGCAGGAGGCUGCAAGAAUUUGAACACGACUGUGGAUGUUUCAUCCCGUUGAGAGCCGUGGGGGAAACAAGCCCUGGGCAUGUGUCCAGGGGGCCUGGCGCCGUAGAGGCUGCUGAGAAGUUUCUUUGGCUGCCUGUCACCCUCGAUUCCCCUUCCCCCCAGGGAUGUGCAGAUGGAGGCCGGCGGAGACGCUGCUGCCCCGGCUCCCGGGGGCGCGCAGGACUUGGAGGACACGCAGGACUUGGAGGGCACGCAGUUCCCAGGCGAGGAGGCUGGAGAUCGUGGAGUUCGGUCGGGCCCGCCGGAUCCCGGAGACGCGGACCCGGAGGAAACAGACUCUUCCCUGCCGAGUCCUCUUCCCUGGUGUCAAGGCUGUUGAAGACCAAGUGGGGAGUAAGCAACCAGACUGGCAAACCUGGAAUUGGAGUACACGGUCCUCAGAGAGGCUUACUUGGUGCUGUUAUAGUGUCUGAUGAAAUUCCGACUCCCCAGACUCAAAGGAAUAAUAAUUAUAACCAUGGUCUUCCAGGUCUUAGACUCUGGACCUCAACUUGCUUUGUAAAUAUCAUGGUUCUUCCACAGUGGGAUGAACAAAUGAGCCAAAUUCCAUGCCAAAGUGACCUCAACUGUAAGAUAAUACUAUUAGUUUGUCAAUGAGGUGGGGUCAAAAUGAGUCAGUGCAGGUCAGAUUGUAAGUUUUCAGUACGAAGUGCUCACUAAUCAUGCGAGCACUAAGCUAUUUCAUUGCUAAAGACACACAUGGAAAAUGAUGAGCUCGUAGGAAAUGCUGGUGCCGUGUCAAGUGGAAUUUUACCAAAUAUCAGCAUCCCCCAACUGCCAUUCAUCAUCCCUUUCUCACACUCCACGUCCCUCUCCCAUCAAGUGGGAAAAGACCCACUUCUCUCAUUUAAUUCCAUUCUUUUAAAGGUAAAAGUGGAACGGUAUUGAUUCUCAGUUUAUAGUUGGCAAAAACAAAUGGGUAAUAAAUAUAUGCCCUCUAGACUGAUUGUACCAGAGAGGCAUUUCACAUUUUAAAAAAAAUGUCGAUUGGAAUCUGCAUAAUUGAUUGUAAAAUUCAGUUAAGCACCCUUUUUCAUCACACACUGCAUACUGAUAAAGACCCAAAAUUCACUGUUGUCCUACUGAACACACAACAUAUACAUGUACUCUCCCUUGUAUGUGGGGCACACAUACUCCAUGUAUAUUUGUGAGCACACACACACACACACACACACAUACACACACUGUAGUCUUCCCAGUGCAUAAAAGGGCUUUUGCUGUUGCUUGUCUAAUGGGGUAUCAUCAGAAUUCCCUUCACCACUCCAUGGAUGGAAUGUCUUUUUAUGUAUAUACUCCUUAAUACUUGAAUUACAAGCAGAUUGGCUUCUGUUAGUACUUAAGCCAAUCAAUAGACAUGCAGAAACUGUCUUUCUAACAGUUAGCUAAAGAAUUUAAGGUACGAAAGAAGAAAAAGUGGACUCUAAAUGAUAAUGAGAUAAUUUUAAAAAAACCAAAAUGCUAUUUAGGCAACUGCUUGUGAAAAGCAUUUAAGAACAAAUUAUGUUCAGGCAGAAAGAGGUUCAUAAAAUCUCAGGUGAAUCUAGUAGUUUUUGGAUUCAUUUAAAAUGUUAAAUUGCUUACUGUCAGUUAAAACAUUUGAAACAAUAGCCCACAUGAUUUUUACUUACCAGUAUAUGCUAAAUACUAAAUAUGAGAAGAGUCUUUUUUCUGAUUAUAAUAAAAAUUGGAUCAUAAUAGAAUGAAAAGACAAGUACUUUAAUUAUAAUGCAGAAUGGUUAUAUAGAUUAUAGAGCAUUAGCUAAAUAAAUUGUAUAUGGUAUCAUAGUAAACAGGAAUUAAUUAUUAUCCUUUGCCCUUCUCCUUGUACUUUAUUAAAAAUAUAUUUGACCAAAGGACAGAAAGAGAAUAGAGAAUACAUCUAGAUACUUUAAUAGAUAACCUUAUAUAUGUAUUGAUAUGUACUGUUGUGUUUGUGUAUGUUUGCAUGUGUAUGUGUGAAGCUUCAUAACCAAAUACAAACUUAUCAUGGUCCAUCUAUGCUAAAAAUUAAAACAUUACCAUUUCCGUCUAACCUGUGUACUCUCCUCUUACCUUGAUUCUGCCUUCCUGCAGAGGUAAACACAGUCCUCAAUUUUAAUUUUCAUUUUUUUCUUAAAAUAGUUUUUUUGAAGUCACGUUUCCAAGUAACAUAUUGCUUAGCUGAGCUUUUUCAGAUUGUCAAAAUUAUUUACAUGUAGUAUAUGGUCUUCGGCAACUCAGUUAUUUUCACCAGAAACUUUGUUCCAAAGAGCCAACCUUUUAGCUUAAUAUUGCUUUAACUCCCUUUGACUGCCAUAUAUUAUUUUACUGUGAACAGGAGUAUGAUUCAUUUACCUGUUGUUUCACCAUUGGACUAUGAGUGGUUAAUGACUGUUUUUGCUUUUCUUAGCAAAAUUGUACAUUUUGGGUGCAGAAAUGCAGGCUUUUGAAACCCAGUUCCUUACAACUUCUCUCUUUCCAUUGGAGAUGCAGAAAUGUGCACACGUGCACACACACACACACACACACACACACACACACACACACACAAUUGUUCAGGUACAACACCUGUAGGUAAAAAGUCAAAGCUCCUUGAGUCCUUGGUUCAUCAUGAACAGGCUCUGCCCAGAAGGACCUACCUCUCCACAGGACUGGUGGAACUUGGGUUAUGUAAAAGUUCAAAUGUAUAAGUUAAUUAUAAUUUUUUUUUCAUAAAGAAUCUCCCCAUAUAGUUCAGGACGCUGGUCCUGAACUCAUUCUGUAGUCCAGACUGGCCUCAAACUCGCAGUGAUCCUCCUACCUCAGCUUCCCGAGUGCUGGGAUUUCAGGCAAGCGCCACCACACCCAGCUAUAAAUUGUUUUUAGAAGCCAUCACAUGCGUUUAUGCUCCAACAACAGUAUUGGAGCACUGGUCUCAUUCUCUCCAUGAUGUGGCAUCAGCUGACUUCUUAUAUUUUGCCAGUUGACUGAAAAAUAGCAUCCAAUUGUACUGCUGAUUUAUGUUUCUUUUUACUAAGUUUGAGUAUUAAUUUACAGUUACGUUCUGUCCCAUGAGGUCUCUGGUUGGACGUUGCACCACUUUUUCCAGUCGUUUCUUAACUGAACUAAAAUGGUUUAUGUUUUACUUGGCACAGUGAUGAUACACUGGUUCAUAUGUUUCUUUCUUACAUACUUCUGGUACUUCUUUUAUAUACUCUGCCAACUUGCACAUACAUCUAUAAAUUUUUAUGUGUUCAAAACCACUCAUAUUUCAUAUAUUUUUAUGUACUUUAUACAUUUUGUGAUUUUUAUAUUUUGCAUCUUUUAGAAAUCAUAGAUUCUUAAUUACAGUGUUUUAAAAUUUAUACCUAUAUCUUUUUAUUGAUGAUGAUGGAUUUUUGUUACUUGCUUAGAUAAACCUUUCGCACCAUAAUUGAGAAUAUAAUUUUGUAACUUCUAUGUCAUUUUUGUUCUCUCAUUCCAUAUCCCCCUGUCUUUAAGUUCUUUUCCUUACUAAACUUACUAAGCCAUCCAUACAGUACCCCCAGGGGAUCUGGGAUUCUAGGUUGUGGUAUCGUAUUUGUUUGUUUGUUUGUUGCAUCUGUUGAUUUCAAGGGAGCUGGCCAACCCAAAGUUGCCCUUUCCCCCAGUAGAUGAAUGUGAUGAUCCUCUUGUAUCUGAUUUGCCUCAGGCAUCCUUCAGCAGUUCUUCUGAGCUCUCCAGCAGCCAUGGUCCUGGCUUUGCCAGGCUGAACAGAAGAGAGGGUGAGUCUGUCUUUUUCCUCCAGUUCAUGGUGAAUUGCACUGAUUUUCCAUUCUAUUUUAAUAAAAAGUGAUAUAUUCAAAAACAUUGUAAGUGGUAUAUCAUAAAAACAAGUGCAUUUAUAAAUAAGCCAAUGCUUAAAACUCGUGAGAUAUAUAUGACAUCUAGAUUCUAUCUGGAACUGCAAGGUGACACUUCUUAUUUGAAAAUCCAGUGUAAUCAUGUCCACAUGCAAAGGAUUGAUUUUUUUCAAUCUGAGAAGGCUUUUGAGCAUCUUAUAAAAUACAUUUUCUACAACAGUGUGCAUUAUAGAUACUAUACUGAUGAAGACUUAACUGGCUUUCUAUUUCACAUUAUAGAAGUUUGCAAGACAUAAUUUUUAAAGAUGCUAGUUACUUAAAAUAAUAAUCCCUCAGUUGUUUAAUUCUCACUGUGGUUGACAUGAUUUUCUUUGCUGUUGAGGAAUACGAACUUCAUAAAGCUUUUGUGCUCCUUUAGGAACCCUCAGUUCAUACUGUUUACUAUCUCUUAGGUUGGGUUUGAUGUCUGGUUUAAAAGAAAGCAGGGAUAAUUAAAUGCCACUUGCUGUAGAAAUAAGAGAGAGUUUCAAAACAUUGUGUUCCUAGUCACAGUAUUAUAAUGACCGCUUUUCAUAAAUGCUAAGGUAAAACUCAUCUGCACACACACUGAACGAAAGUGGCUUGGUGAUACUAAAAUAGAGAAUAUUUUUAACAGCUACAAAAACAGAGACCAGAAUUACGUAUUAUUAAAAACAUGUUUCCCUCAUUCAUUAUCUCUUUCUUUCAUGCCACAUUAGUUAGCCUUUCCUUUAAACUUAUCCUUGGUGUUACCUUGGUGCUGUUGCUUAAUGUUAAGCAUAGUGAACUUUGGAUGUAACACGUAGAUUGUGUGUGUGUGUAUAUGUGUGUGUGUUAAGUUUUUCUAUCUGGUCCACAUUAUACUUAAUAUAUAAUGCAUCGUUAUAAUUUUAAUACAGACAUAUAUAUAACACUUUUACAUGAUUUUGUUUGUUUAUUUAGAAACUUUAUCUCAAAAGAAAAGAAAUUUUAUCUCAUAUUAUUUGAUAUACCCACUUAUUUACGCUUCUGAGUGUGAAGAUUUCUUAUAAAGGAAAAAUUUUAUGGGAGCCAGCUGUCCUCCAGCUAUAGAUAAGCAGUGUGAGACUGCCCAAGAGGUGCUAAGAGUUUCAGAAAAUAAACUCCCAUCCUGUUCUCGGAAAAGCCACUCAGAGUAACUCCCCUGCCCUUAAUCUAAACUUCCUCAUUCUUGUAUCUCCCCGCCAAUCCCCCACCAAUGAUUGUAAAGGUCAGUUUAAACUAACCAAUGCUAUCUGCUUCUGUAAGUUCGCUUGCAAAAUACCCGCCUUUUGUGGUUUUUUGGUUUAAAAGUCUGGCUAAACUCCGGCUCGGGGCUCUCUGUUCCUGCGUGUUCAGUGAGCCCCAUGCAUGCCUGGUAAAUAAACUCCCCUUGCUUAUUGCAUGAGAGAGCGUCUCUUGGAGUCUUCCUUCACGCGGCGAGAUUCUCGA